CGUUUUCUUUCAGAGCCUAAAAGGAAAAAACAAAAUUGAAAUAAGAAGAGACUAUACGCAAUGUUCGAAACAUAUAUGUAAAAGGAGGAAACAAAAUAGAAAACACCAAGGCAUAAAGAAAUGAACCACGCCAAACCCCCACCAAAAUAUAGAAAAGAAUACCACUCUUCAUGUAUAUUGAAUUCCUUUCGUCCCUAAAAUCUCACAUUCACAAAAUCAAUAAGUCGAUGACUAUUAGAUCAAGAUCAAAUAGUGCAUAUUUCAAGUUUGGGAUUUUAGUUUUAGAUAAAUAAAACAUCCACACCUUUGAUCUUGAUCUAACGAUCACCACUAAUAAUUUUAAUGAAGAUGAUAAGGAGCACUUGGGUGAUUUUAAUGAAGACGAUAAGCAUGAUGACCCAACCAAGAAAGGAUGCAACAAAAGAACAUUGUAUCAAGAAAUCUCUUCAUUUAAGGUUGUGCAAGAAGGAAGGCAUGUCCAUAAUAAUGAAAGUACUUCAAUAAAUGAUGGUCAAAAAUUACCAUAUUGUAAAGAAGCCAAUGGAUUUUGGAACUAUGAGAGCAAAAGUUGUUGAAGGCAUGUAUGAAAGCUUCGC